GCAUUCGCAGCUCGUGCGUCACGACGCCGCCAGCUGAUCGGAGCCUGGAGCCGGUGUGUGCUGGGUGCCGAGAAGAGACAGCGCCGCCGGCCGUGGGGAGCGGACGCAGUGAUUUGCUCCCCCUCGUGCAGCAACCCCCACACCCAGCACCAGGCCCCCAGAACUCUCCUUCCAGCUGAACUCCCUGGGAACAAGUCAGUUGGGCUGAUCACUGAACUCACAUUUCUGGACCUGAGGAGCCUGUUCCUCUCACGCCCUCACCUGGCUGAGCCGCAGUAGUUCUUCAGUGGCAAGCUUUAUGUCCUGACCCAGCUAAAGCUGCCAGUUGAAGAACUGUUGCCCUCUGCCCCUGGCUUCGAGGAGGAGGAGGAGCUGCUUUCCCCAUCAUCUGGAAGGUGACAGAAAUGGGCUGGGAAGGUCCGAACAGCAGGGUGGAUGAUACGUUUUGGGCAAGUUGGAGAGCCUUUGCCCAGAUUGGCCCAGCAAGGAGCGGUUUUAGAUUAGAGACACUGGCUGGAUUGAGGAGUAGAAGGCUCAAACAACCCAAGGCUUUCUGCCUCCGAGAUGUGGCACCAUAGUGCGGUGCCCUGUGGCUUCACCGCCCUACUUCCACCUCCGCCCAGCCUGUAAUGUUUAUAUAAGCAGCCUCAAGGACCAAGAACCAUCUGCGAAAGGACACACACAGGAAAUUCAUAAAAGAAAUCUGAAUGGAUAAAACCAUGAAAAAAAGUAUGCUUCAUUAGUAAUUAAAGAAAGGCAAAUAGAGCUGGAAGCAUUUUUCCCUUAGCAAACCAUAACAGAAAAAAAUAAGACCCAAUAUUGGCAAAGAGACUACUGAAAAAACAUUCCCAUACAUUGCGUGUGGGAGUAUACAUCGGUGCAGGCUUCCUGGAUGACAGUUGGGUGAUAUGUGUCAUGUGGCCUAAAAGCCUCCAUGUCAUUUGACCUACGAAUUCUAUCUUUGGGAAUUUAUCCUAAGAAAAUACUUAAGGAUUUAGUUAGUGAUAAGAUGUUCAUCCCAGCAUUGCAAUGGAGAAAAAUGGGAAGCAAUGGUUUGGUUGGGAAUUUAUUCCUUUUCUGCUGUAACGAAAGUUUGCAAUAGGGGAUUGCUUAAGUAAAUUAUUGUAUCUCCAUCCAGAUGGUGGAGUACCGCGCAGACAUUAAAAGUCAUGUAAAAGAACAUCUGACUGAAAGAAAAAUGCUCCUUGAAUAUUAAAAGGUUGUAAAAAUAGUGCAUGUUAUGUGAUUUCAAUUUUGUUUUUUAAAAUAUGGGUGUAUGCUUGUAUACGUAGAGCAGAUAAAAAAGACGGAAGGCAUACUAAAAAAUGUUGAGUGGUUAUCUUUGUAUGGUGGAACAAAGUCACUGUAAUUUUCAUCUUUGGUUUUUCUGUAAUUUCCAAAUUUUCCACAUUUUGUAUUUCAUAUAAUAUAAUUUAAGAGAUCAGUGUUAUUAUUUAAACCUUUGGAGAGGUGGGGGUAGAAGAAUGAAGGGAAGACCUCA
ensembl:lncRNA MIR22HG MIR22 host gene